rnacentral:lncRNA from 1 species
GCUUGGUGGUUUUGUUUUAUAGCUUUCAUUGCAUUGUCUAAUCUAUUUUCAGUUUGGGUAACAAAAGAUGUUAAACUUCCUCCAUAUUGUUUUAAUGCAGAGGAGAUUUUAUUAUUUUCAGAAGUGAAUGAAUUAAUAUGAGUAGCUAAUUUCCGUAGUUGUUUUUCCGUAGCUAAACCAAACAAUCCUCCAAAAAUAUUUCCUACAAAAGGUAAAAGGCUUCGCUUGGAUUUACCUAUUAAAGUUUUAUUUAGCUUCGGUACCAACUUAUCUACUAACGAUCUUGUUUCUUGAAUUUGGGAAUUCAUAUAUGAUCUCAUAUAAUUUAUUUGUGAAACCAUCUUGUUAUGAGAAUCGCACUGAUAACCGGCUAAUUUUGGACAUUUAGUUACUAAAGUAUGUUGCAAAUC